GACCGACUCGGAUCGAGCGCGCACAUCGCAGUUCGCAGUUUCGCACUUGACAACUUGUGUUGAUGAUCUAAAAAAGGUGUCGUUAACCUAGCGUUUUUCAGUUUUUCUGGUAAUUUGGAAUUUUCGUGACCUAUGCUGUGACUUUUGAAGCUGCAGCGAGCUUAUUCCAGAAGACUGAAAAAGAGGUUGAAAAUGACAUUUCCAAGUGGCUGCGGAAGUGCACAGACCGAUCAAAAAAGCAAGAACUUAGAAAUUAACAUUUAUCAUUUACUACAUAUAUAUACAUAUGUCAUACUCAUAAGAAUGUUAAAAAUAAAUUUACACUUUUAUUGCAAAG